rfam:Omnitrophica bacterium RIFCSPHIGHO2_02_FTLL_49_9 rifcsphigho2_02_scaffold_36355, whole genome shotgun sequence.
GCAUCGAAAGGGCAAACUAUUUGCCUCCCGGCGAAAACACAACCGGGGGGCGCUACCGCUAGACUGGGUGGGCGAAAGAAUAGGGCGCAAAGCUUUGGGCCCAAAGAGAUCGAUUCGAAGUCGAUCUACCGGGCAGCCGGGCUGCCGAA